AGAGUUUGAUCCUGGCUCAGAACGAACGCUGGCGGCAGGCCUAACACAUGCAAGUCGAACGAGCUGGGACCUUCGGGUCCCGAUGCUAGUGGCGCACGGGUGAGUAACACGUGGGAAUCUACCCAAUAGUACGGAAUAACUGAGGGAAACUUUGGCUAAUACCGUAUACGCCCUUCGGGGGAAAGAUUUAUCGCUAUUGGAUGAGCCCGCGUCUGAUUAGGUAGUUGGUGAGGUAACGGCUCACCAAGCCGACGAUCAGUAGCUGGUCUGAGAGGAUGAUCAGCCACACUGGGACUGAGACACGGCCCAGACUCCUACGGGAGGCAGCAGUGGGGAAUAUUGGACAAUGGGCGCAAGCCUGAUCCAGCCAUGCCGCGUGAGUGAAGAAGGCCUUCGGGUUGUAAAGCUCUUUCGGCGGGGACGAUGAUGACGGUACCCGCAUAAGAAGCCCCGGCUAACUUCGUGCCAGCAGCCGCGGUAAUACGAAGGGGGCUAGCGUUGUUCGGAAUUACUGGGCGUAAAGCGAACGUAGGCGGUGUUCCAUGUCAGAGGUGAAAGCCUGGGGCUCAACUCCAGAAUUGCCUUUGAAACGGGAACGCUUGAGUCCGAGAGAGGAUGGCGGAAUUCCUAGUGUAGAGGUGAAAUUCGUAGAUAUUAGGAAGAACACCGGGCGAAGGCGGCCAUCUGGCUCGGUACUGACGCUCAGGUUCGAAAGCGUGGGAGCAAACAGGAUUAGAUACCCUAGUAGUCC
rnacentral:rRNA from 1 species